AUAACAACCAAACAAACCCGCUAGCACAGUAAAGGCUGCGAGAUGAAGUAGUUGCCCGGAACCUAAACUCAAUAUAAGGGCCCGCAAAAGCCUCAGGUGGAAAGAGUAUUCGUCUGUGAACAACUGAAGAAACGGCUGCCUACACAUGCCCGUAUGUAAAAAAAUGUACAAAACCUAGUAUGGAACAUGAUUAGGAUGUUUUAUAAAUGUUACGCUUACUAAAAGAGAUCCUUUAGGUAUCGAAUACUACUCAAGCUCUUCAAUCUCAAUAACGUCCUUUAGGACACAAUUUGAUAAAAUUUAACUUGUAGGCAAAAUAUUUUGGGAAUCUCUUAAACGUUCAAAUGCCUCGAAAACCUCGAAAAACAACGCUAGAAAACUUUAUGAAAGGCAAAUUAUUCUUGAGUCAUAGUUUUGCCUUUGUAUCCGAAUAUUCUACGAACUUGUUAAAAGAAAACGAAAGACAAGCAAAACAAACUGGAAAGUGAAAGUAUGCAACUCUAACUCAGAGCAACUUAAUCGCCAAUUAAAAGAAGGAAAAACACUAUAUCCAAAGCUCUGCCGAGUAGCGCCAUGGAACUGGUGAACAAACGUGAGUGAAAAUCAAAUUUUAUUACACUAAAGAAUGUCCAGCUUUUUCAUAAAAAUUGCUGCGAUUUUUUUCAUCUAAGUGCGUAUUCGUAAAUGGCAGCCGGAAAAAGUCCAACAGGAAAUACAAGCAGCAACGGCGACGACGGUGUCCAAGCAAACACGUAAGCACGACAAGGCCAUGCAGCUGAAGUGUACCAACAACGCAACAACACACGAAAACCAACUUACUGACCAGCAGCGCAGAGUACGUUUUGGCUACAUCAUCCCAACAGGAUAUGUCAUGGGUGUCAAGGAGUGAGUGAGGCAAGAACACAAAAAAUC